UGCGCCAGCUGGCCGCAGUGGCAGCUCGCGUGGGCGUGGCAGCGGGUGACGCUCCGUCCGUGCGUUACAGGAGUGCGGCAGACGGUGGACCGGCCGGCGGCGCCAGCACACGCCCACCAUGUCGUUCCUGUUCGGAGGCGGAGAUGACCGUCGUGGCGGAGGAGGCGGAGGGUUUUUCGGUGACCUCGUGGGAGCCGUGGCUAACGAAGUCAUCGAUAACAUCCAGGACGACGGUCAGGAUGGACGUGAGCGACGCACGAGGAGUAACCAUGUGGAGGCUGGUG